CAGCUCUCCGAGUGGUAGGGAUGAUUAUUGGGCUUAAAGCGUCCGUAGCCUGCUUAGCAAGUCUCCUGUUAAAUUCAGCGACCUAAUCGUUGAGCCGCGGGAGAUACUACUAGGCUAGGAGGCGGGAGAGGUCGACGGUACUUCUGGGGUAGGGGUGAAAUCCUAUAAUCCCGGGAGGACCACCAGUGGCGAAGACUGUCGACUAGAACGCGCUCGACGGUGAGGGACGAAAGCUGGGGGAGCGAACCGGAUUAGAUACCCGAGUAGUCC
rnacentral:rRNA from 1 species